rfam:Triticum urartu cultivar G1812 contig558299, whole genome shotgun sequence.
UUCCUACUUCCUCCGUUUCGAAUUACUUGUCGCAGGUAUGGAUGUAUCUAGAUGUAUUUUAGUUCUAGAUACAUCCAUUUCAGCGACGAAUAAUUUGAAACAGAGAAAGUAUAAG